AUACUGUAAAAAUAUUUUGCCCGGUGAUUUUCUGUAUUGUAUGCUUGUGAAUGGUGCGAAAUAGAAGGAGACGCUGGUCUGUGAAAAGUAGUGAGAGAGGCGCAGCGAGCUGCUGCAGAUGACUGACCGAAGUCCCAAAUGUGUGGGCCAUGGACAACAGAUGUGCAGUGUCCCACUGUGUACCCGGCUUCAAAAAGAAAGAACACCAUCCGAAACCAAGACAACACGGUGAUAUAUGAAUAUUGAUGGUUCCUUUUCACACCAAUGGAGUGACCAAUGAGGCUCACAUUACAGAAGUCAUGUAAGGGGCCUUUGUCCUUCCGCAGCAUCAAGUAUCUUAUACAGGAAACCAUUCACCAGCUCUCCAAGAACCAGUCCGUCCCUUUUCUAUUC